UUUUUUUGUAAUCUUUUGAAUUGAUAUACAUUUGGCUUACCUUCACAUGUUGACUAUUGUUAAAAAUGAUAAAUAGGUAAUUUCAUUAUUAGACCUCACUGCUUUUAAUCAUUCACUAAAAGCCUACUACUUUGUAUUAUAUAUAUUCACUAAAAGCCUACUACUAUUACUCUGGUAAAUCACAACAGCUUUUCUCUAUCAGUCGACAGUUAAAGAGAAGCUGGAACUUUACAUAAUAAAGUUUCGGUAAGUGACUAUCUUUCUGGGUUGUUUUGGAUAAUUACAUUCCAUUAGCGCUAAUAUUAAAUGGAAAUCAGAUAUUCGUAUACCUAUUACAGUGGAGUGGCAGAAACUUGAAGAGUUAUUAGUUAGAAUAAAGUCAAUUGUUUUUGGAUUGAUUAGAUUUUUAUAACAAGUGUAUUUAUUUAUAAGCGAUUUUAUCUUGUAAAUACAACAAAAAUCUUCCAUA